ensembl:lncRNA
UGGUCUAGUAUUAGAUAUGGAGGUUGGUGGUCCUGCAUGCAGCAGGGGGGUUGGAGCUUGAUGAUCCUUGAGGUCCCUUCCAACCCAAGCCAUUCUAUGAUUCUAUGAUAUCUCUCUUUGUGUUCCUAAAAGGCCAUUAUUUUACAAACAGCAAUUUGAUGAACAUGAGCCAUGCCACUGUUUUCUCUUGUAGACUGUACAGACGUAGUGUGGGUAUUAGGAAUGACCUCCCAGACAUCAUAUCUGAUUUUUCUGCUUGCCACCUUUCAGAUAAACAGAUGGAGGUCAUUCAUUCUGCCAAGUUCUUUUAGGAUGAUCACUAAUUCAGGCACCAGUCUAGUACUGUAUCACUGAAAGGGAUAUCUAAAGCUUUGGAGUAGUUGGUAGCAUUUAGUAAAAACAGCAUAGCCAAAGAUGAACUCCAGAACAUUUCUUCAAAUUUGAGCAAAUAUUCAAGCAAAAUGGCCUGAGUCAUCUAUCUUUCCUCUAUCCAACUUUGUAUAAAUCUAUACUUAAAGGUCUCUGUAUUUUCUUAUUUAGUAUCAAAACAUGCUCCCUCUGUUUCACCAUCUUGUGUUAGAGCUUGCCCUUCUUCCCCCAUUCUUUCCCCGCAUGCAUCCAUACCUGUCCCAGCAGCAUCUCCGCUUUUUGAAUCAUUUGCCAUAUUCCCUACAGACACUUUCAGGGCAACCCAAAAUAUAUUCUGCCUUCUCCUUCCAAGUCUCUCAGGAAUGUAUAAUAACUUGGGAGCAGGUUGUAUUCAUUGUACUAGCUUUAUCUUCUUAGCUACUUCUGUUUAUAUAAAAUUAAGUUCAAGUAUGUCCCUGAUGGGUUUUGCUAUACAAAGAAUGUGUAUGUUUACUUUUCCUCCCGUAUUGUCACAUUCAGCUCUAUGCCAGUUAUCUGAGAACUAUAACACUAGGGAGACAUCCUAGGCCAGCAAAUCUUGGCCUCUGAUAGUAUUGUCAACAUACUUAGAUCUUUUCUUCUCUAUACUGUGGUUAUAUAAGAGGUUAAGGAAGAAAAACGUAAAAACACCCAUAUUCCAGACAGAACAGAGACAGUAUCAGUACUCUCAAAGUGCUGGAAUUCAAAUUUUGAGUGGGCUCAGGAACAUACUAGGUACUUGAGAAAGCACAUACAAAGAGAGCAUUUUAAGAAUGCUCUCCCACCAGCUAUCCUAGAAUGAUUCUUUAAACUACGAAGAGAAAUCCUAGACAAGAGGACUGAAUAAAGGUCACUUAGUCUAUUCCUAUAGGAAUAUAGCUGUACCUAAAUUGUACUUAUAUCAAAAAGGGUGUGGGGAUCAUCUACAUUCAUGGCAAACAUUCUAACUAUUAUAUUUCUAUCUGAGACUUUCACCAAAAAUAUCACUCACUGAUGGGCCCAAAGUGUGUCUACCUGAUUUUCAUGAGCCCUCCAUUUGUUCAAUCUAACACCGACUGAAUGCAAUUAUCUCCUGAAUCUGUUAGUUUACACAGGAGUUCACCGGGUCAUUCUCUGACAAAAAGGCCACAGAUAGUUAAUUUUUUCCCUUUGCUUGGAAGAGAAUGAGACUAUUGAAGAGCUUGACGAUGGGGAGACGGAAGGAGAUUUUCUUUUGUACUGCAAGGUAGCUGAUGAUAACAUGGAUACCUCAAUGUUUAAAGUUCAGCAUCUAGCAGUUACAGGACAUUUAGUUUUCAUAGCAUUCAGCAUCGGAGCACCUGAGAUCCUGUUUACAAAGUUAGCCACCCAAGUAGGUGACACUGUGCAGUUGUUGCUGCAUGAAGAAAUACUUGCUGCCAUCUCAGUGACAUCAUUGGUGGACAAAGGAAAGGCAACUGAUACCCACCUGGACUUCUGCAAGGCCUUUGACACAGUCACCCAUUAGAUUCUUACCUGUAAAUUUGAGAUAUAUGGAUUUGAAGGGUGAACUAUUUGGUGGAAAAGGAAUUAGUUGGAAGGUCACAGCCAGAGAGUUAUCGUCAAUGGCUUUAUGUCCUGGUGGAGGACAGUAACAAGCAGUGUCCCUUAAGUGUCUGUCUUGGGAUGGGUACUCUUUGACAUCUUUAUCACGACAUAGACGAUGGGAUUGAGGGCACUUUCAGCAAGUUUGCUGGUGAGAUCAAGCUAAGCUGUGCAGCUGACACAGCAGGAGGAAGGGAUUCCAUACAGAGGGACUUUGAAACUCAAGAGGUGGGCACUUGUGAACACAGUGAGGUUCAACAAAGUAAAGUGCAAGGUUUUGCUCUUCAAUCAAGGUAAUCAAUAUAAACUAGGAGAAGAACUACUAGAGAGCAGCCCUGCUGAGAGGGACUUAGGAGUUCUGGUCGAUGAAAAAUGUGACGUGAGCCAGCAGUGUGCGCUUGCAGUCUAGAAGGUCAAUGGUAUCCGAAGUUCCAACAGAAGAGGGGUGGCUAGCAGGAUGAGGGAGGUGAUUGUCCUGCUUUAUUCCGCCCUCAUGAGACCCCAGAUGGAAUACUGCAUCCAAGUCUGGGGCCCCCGACAAAGGAAAGAUGUGGAGCUUUUGGACAAGGUCCAGAGGAGCACCAUGAAGAUGAACAGAGGGCUGGAACACUUCUGCUAUGAAGACAGGCUGAAGAAACAGGGCUUGUUCAGCCUGGAAAAGAGAAAACUGAGGGAAGACCCCAUUACAGCCUUCCAGUAUGUAAAGGGAGUUUAUAAACAUGAGGGAAAUCAACUUUUCACUUGGGUAGGUAGUGAUAGGACAAUGGGGAAUGGUUUUAAAAUAAAGGGAGAGUUAGAUUAAAUGUCAGGGGAAAGUUUUUUACUGAGAGUGGUGAGGUGCUGGCACAAGUUGCCCAGAGAGGCUGCUGAUUCCCCAUCCCUGGAGGUGUUUAAAGCCAGGUUGGAUGGGGUCCUGGCCAAACUGAUCUAAGAACUUGAUCUUGUGUCUGGCAACUCUGCCUGUGGCAGGGGGUUGGAAACUGACCUUUGCGGUUCCUUCCAACCCAAGCCAUUCUAUGAUUCUGUGAUUCUAUGAUUAUAUGACCUUGUCAUUUUUUUUCUUACAGAAUGACUAAGUAAAACAAAUAGAACAAAAAUCCUGAUAUUGUUCCCCAGAUCCUACCUCCAGCGCACUGUCAAGAAGAAAAACAUAUGCAUACAGAGCCACUUGACUGAGAAUGUCACACUGCCAGGCUUGAAGAUUUAGCACCACAAAAUCUGCUUUGCACUCAUAGGGAAGCAGAGCAACAGAGAGGGAUCUUCAGUAAACUAUGCUGAAGAGAUCUGUCGAGAAAAAAUAGAGAAAAUCCUGCUCUAAGUUUUAGAUAAAACAUAAGCUAAAAUGUUGUUACAGCAACUCAACCCACUUGUUGAAGGAAAAGACUUUGCAUCAGGAAUGCCUCCAGAGAGACUGGAGCUAGUAGCAGAUCAGAGUACAGUAGACAAAGGUGGAGAUGACUUUUUGGAGUAGGAAUUGAAAAGCUGCAGUAUGCUACUCAGAGAAGCACUGAAGAUAAAUGACUACUAUGCAAUCCAGGAUGAGUUUUUUCUCCUUUUGAGGACACAUGCAUACAAAGUACUUUAAGACUUUAGCAAUUUUACUGUUAUUAUUUACUAUCAAUUAUUACAUAUUAAAACAUUCAUGAUUG